rnacentral:sRNA from 1 species
AAACAAAGAUGCCGCAGACAGCAGGCGCGAACCAUUCGCUCAAUUUCCUGCCGAGGUGUUAAGGUUUAAUAAAGAUUAUCCGUAAGAUAUACUCUUUUUUAUGUCCUUAUGCCGUGCGGCGUAAGGGCUUUUUUAAAU